ensembl:lncRNA
GCCCUCACCCAGGGAGAGCUUUGAACACUUAAAGAGUUAGUGAAAGCUGGGCUAGACUAGGAGUCAGGAAGCAGGAGAGAACGUGUAACUUGUUUUUAUUUCUGGGUUUCGGUCUCCUUCUGCAUAAAAGGAGGAUUUGGGAAAACUCAGGUUAGUAGUAGGUAGUGUGAGAGGGAACGUAUGGAAAAAUACAAAUCUUUUUGCUUUAAACAAACCUCCAGCUGGUGGAAGUAACUACAGAGCCGCAAAGAGCAGUGGAGAGUCUGCUUUUGAGUCUGGACUUGACCAUGACUCUCCGUGUGAACUUGGGCUUUUCCUUGUCUGUCUCUGGAACCUGAGUUUUUGCAUCAGGUGGGUUGGACCAGAGCAGAGGUCACUGACUGAUACGCUGUGAGCUGCGUUUGACUUGCAGGUGUGAUGUCCUUGGUUCCCAGACAGAUCUAUUUUUCUAAUUACCCUCCAUCUCUUUUGGUGAGCUGACAUUUUAAAAGUAGGAGAUGUCACAUCCAACUCUGGAUUCCUAAGUCCUCUUGAAAAAGCAAAAGUCCAAAGUCACAGGGGGCUUCACUUGUCAUGGAAGCACAUGUUUGAACGGGGCAGUGACUUCUCCUCUUGGAUCGGCCUCCACUGCCCACCCUGCUGUGGCCACACAGCCCAGGGACUCAUUUAUGUCACCUGCCUCUGGAAGCACCAGAGCCUGCAACCCUGGGACAAGGGCCCGUUAACCCUCCUUCUCUGUCCAUGUCCACUCGGGUUCCUUGAGGCUGAGACCCGGCCCUCUCGCGGGACAUGCUUCCUUCUCCUGAGCAGGUCACUGAGAGGGGUGUCUGCUUAGGUGACUCUAUGGUAACACACUGGAAUGAUUUGCAUUUUCCAUGUAUCAGUUUAUAAUAGCAUAGUGAACAAACCUUUCCAAACGCCUGUGCCCUCCUAGAGAUACUGUCACGUUCGCUCCCCUAAAGGAUGGGAGCCUUUCCACAGCCGGGUCACCCCUCACCCCCUCCCCCCCCACUGCAUACAAGUUCCUUGAAGUUCAAUGACUCUAAGAACUCUUUGGUCCAUCAGCUGUCGUACCCAGAGGGUUGAGUCUCCAUACAAAUGCAGCACGAGAGGAGGCCAAAACUGCCACCAGGGACUCUCAAAGCCUGGAUGUUUCCUUUACUAGAAGCUGCUUUAAUCUCCGUCUCCUGCUCCGUCUUUCGCUUCCGACACACACAUCCCAGUUCUCCUCUGACAGCUCCUUCGCAGAAACAGCCGCCACCUCAGACUCAGCAGGUCCUAACUAAGCCCACCAUCUCUCCCCUGCUUCUGUCUUUGGCCUUUGCUGUUGUUACUCAAACACAGUACAAGGCACCUUGCAGUCGCCUGAGCCAGAAGCUGGGGAGCCAUCUUGAUGUCUGCCACCCCUCCCCCUCCCUAGUCAUCCGAUCUGAGCUCUAGAAAUGCCACCCCCUCCCUCCCCGGAAUGUGUCUCUUCUUUCCCAUCUCACUGCUGCAUCCAAGUUGAGGCCACACGGUCUAACCCGGACCCCCGCAGCGUCUCCUAAUUCUGCCACCCCUGAUCCAUGCUGCUACGCUCCAGGGAGUCCCAUUCUGCAGACCAGAGCCGUCCCUGCCCAAAUCUGAUCACAACACAUCUGCCUUGAAAACAUUUUCAGGACUUCCGAUAGGCUUUAGGAGAAAGCCCCAGAUCCCUAACGGGGUCCCUGUGCUUCUGCAGGAUAUGGAGUCUCUUUCUGGAGCUGUGUGAAGGAGGCAGCUGUCUUAUUGCAGAGCUCACACUCAACCACAGAACUGAGCUGGGGCUUCCAGGUGCUACUGGUGGAGCUGGAGUAACCCCAUUCACAGUGGUCAGGAGACCCCAUGGACAAGCUCACCCAAAUCCAGGUGCUAAGAUGCCCAGGAUGUCUUCAGUGUCUGGGUUCAUCCUUCCCGCCUGGCACUUCCUCUCAGGACAACCUUCUGUGAUGCAGCCCACUGGGAGAGCUACCAAGACUCACCGCCACUGCCACUUAGAGUCCCUCAACAGUUACCCAUGGGAUGACUGCAGAAUUAUGGUCACCAAUGGAAUCCAGUUGACACCUGUCAGUAUCAGCAGGUAGCCCCAGCCUCUGUCUGUACAGGUGGGAAACCUGAGGACCCGGGAGGAGGAGUGACCGAACUGAGGGACAAUGGUGGGCUUUGGCUCCACAACCAGGUGUCCUGCUGUCCAGUCUAGUGUUUGUUGCAUUCUAUCAAACAAUCUUAGUCAUCGGUUCUGCAAAGUAACAGAAUGCAUCUCACCAAUGUCAGCUUUUACCUCACCUAUCAUGGGAGAGUCUUGGGGGCUGAUGUAAGUGAAAAGGGUGUUGGCAGUGAGGAAUUUCCUCAGGAUGAAGAAAAACUAAUCAGAGCAGAAGUGGAAUACUUUUUGCUGUUGUCUAUUGCAUUCAUUUUAGCUUUUAUUUUCAUGAAAUCCCACCUCCUGCAUUGUUUUCAUUUAUUUUUUGGCUCUUUACCUAAUUUCUUAGGAUGAGUGCUUUGUGCAAUUAUUUUAGGCUUUUCACACACACAAAAAAAUAAUAAAAGCAUUGAAAGCUA